UACAGAGGGUGCAAGCGUUGUUCGGAAUUAUUGGGCGUAAAGGGCGCGUAGGCGGUGCGGUAAGUCUGCGGUGAAAUCUCCCGGCUCAACUGGGAGUCUGCCGUGGAAACUGCCGUGCUUGAGUGUGGGAGAGGUGAGUGGAAUUCCUGGUGUAGCGGUGAAAUGCGCAGAUAUCAGGAAGAACACCCGUGGCUAAGGCGGCUCUCUAGUACGGUACUGACGCUGAGACGCGAAAGCGUGGGGAGCGAACAGG
rnacentral:rRNA from 1 species